AGUGGAAUUGCUGGGUCAUAUGGUAACUCUGUAUCUAACCUUUUGAGAAACUGCCAGACUGUUUUCCAAAGUGGCUGCACCAGUUUACAAUCCCACCAGCAGU
rnacentral:pre_miRNA from 2 species